rfam:Intestinimonas butyriciproducens strain AF211, complete genome.
UCCCAUAAGGGGGCAGUAUUACCCCUUAUGGGAAACAUGUAGCAUGUAGCA